rnacentral:lncRNA from 1 species
UUUUGAAAUCAUAUUAUAGAUGCACAUGAUUAUAACUCAAGUUUGUGGAAAAACACCAUAAUAAAUACAUACUUUCAUCAAAAUGAGUUCAUAAUGCAUGUUCUUCAAAUGGUUUUGAAAACCUAUUACAUAUACAUAUAUGUUGUCACGCCCCAAAAUCCCAUCGGGCCGGACUGGCACCCAAAGCCGAGAAGGCCCGGGAGAACCCGUUCAAAUACCUGUACUUUCACUUAUAUGUCACCAAAAAUUUGGACAGCACUUCGUUGCAUAUAGAAGGGUCUAAUUACCUGUAUCAGCACAACACGCACAAAUAUAUAUAUAUAUAUUACGUAGCCGUCGGGGCCACCACAUAUACAAAUGUAACAUCACUAUAUAAACUUCCAUGACUUCACCCUUCCUUAUGUCUACAAAGCCUCUAGGAUAUACAUGACAUAACUAGGGUCGGGACAAACCCCCCCGCCCACACAUGACUCCUGUACAAUAACAAAACAUAAGGAACCGACUCGAAAAGCUCCGAAGCAAACUGGUGCUCACCAACAAUAGUUGUAUGACCUGGCUCCUACUUGUGCGGUGUAUGAGCUGAGGUACCUGUGCCUGCAGCAUGAAAUGCAGGUCCCCGUGGGGGACGUCAGUACGAAAUAUGUACUGAGUAUGUAAAGCUGUAAAUAAUCACAUAUGAUAUAGGAGCUCAAUAGAAAUCAGAAACAAGUGAAUAAGUCGUAAUAGGAGUGGACCACACUUACUAGAACUUGUGACAACCUGUACAUUGUAUUUAUUCAAUCACUUUACCUUCGUUCUUAUCGUCUUUGUAAUCAUUACUGUACUGUACUGUGACCAUUAGGAUGCCUCCAGUACAUAUCAACUGGGAUCGACCCAUGCUAGGCUUAUGCCCCUGGGAUACCACCCAUAAACACAUAAAUAGGGAUCGACCCAUGCUAGGCUUAUGCCCCUGGGAUACCACCCGAUAAGAGAGAACUUCCAUCACUUAGUUCAAUUAAUCUUUGAGAUUGUUAUUUCGGUCGCCACCACAUUUUUGAUACUUUGAAACAAUGAUACAUCAAUAGGAACCAAGUAAUAGACCUUCUAUACAAUAACGAUGUAAUAAAGACUCAUUGGUACAUCAACAAUGUGUUUCAGAAUCAUCAAUAUCACAACAAUGAAAUAAGAGCCUUUUGGUAUAUCAAUGAAACAUUUUGACACUUUAUAGAAUGGAAACAACUUCGUUGGUAACGUAGAACAAUACAUGUUUUUGGACAACCUCGGAAUCUUACUUGAUGGAACAUUGGUGUUUUCAUGCCAAAGAACAUUGUUAGAGUAUGCUUUACAUACCUCGUUGUAGAUUCGGAUACCAAUUCAACACAACUUCCCGCCUUUACAAAUCACUUAUCUACAAUGAAAUGUUUGGCAUCUAGUAUUAGCAACCCAACACCACAAUUCUCUUCCAUAAUUCCAUACUACCAAUAUUUGCAAAACAUUCCAAAAACCAACUUGAACAAUAGGUUUAUGUGUGUAUAUGUAUAUAAUCAUCAUCUCAAUACCACAUCAUCAAUACCACAUCAUCACCCCAAAUUCCUUCACAAUUUAACAUAAUCCAACCAUGCACAAGAAUAAUCCAACAUCAUUUCCAAUCAUCUUUCAACAACAAUCAAAUAACAUACUUCUUAUGCUCACAUGCAUAUAUAUAUAUAUAUACAUAUCCAUAUAAAUAACACCAACAUAAUUUACAUCCUUACCAAAAAAAAUGGCCCUUUUGAUUUCGAAGUCCUGUUGGCACAAAUAAGGGGUGCUUCUCGAAGCCCUUGAGACGGUGAACACAACUACGGAAUCAAUUUGGAUUUUCUACGGUUGAAUCACAAGAUAAUUGGAGUUGAAAUUUGGCUAGGGUUUCUUAGUUUUCAAUAAUGGAUGAUAAAUAAUGGAUAUGAGGCUAAGUAUAUGUAUAUAAUGACCAAUUUUCGUUCAAGAGGUGAUGGAAAAUGACCAUAUUGCCCUUAAAAAUUUAAGUAAAUCCGAAUCUGUCCAUGGUGGACUGUUUUGAUAGGCUAAAGUAAAUCGGCCAUAACUCUUUGCUCCGAUAUCGGAUUUGGGUGAAAUUGGUAUCGUUAGAAAGAUAAUUCAAAGGUAUUUCAUUUAAUAUAAAUUAAUCCACCCAGUUCGUCCUGUACAAGUAGUUAUGAUCGUUUGAAGUUGACCCUAAAAAUCUGUUUUGAGAGGCUGAAGUAAAACGAGUAUAACUCCUUACUCAGAUGUUGGAUUUGGAUGAAACCAAUUUCAUUGGAAAGAAGACUCAAAGAUCUUUCUUUUGAUAUAUGGUAGCUCAACCAGUUCAUUAUAUUGAGGGAGUUAUGAUCGUUCAAAGUUGACCCAAAAAACUGGCAGGCCUCAGUAGUUUCCUGCACAUUUUACUGUUCACAUCCCGGCCACCGUUUUAAAGUUUCGAACGAGCUCGCUUAUAUCCGAAACUUAUCCGUUUUUGGAAAUCUUUAUAUCGUUGGAAAGCUUAUUCAAUAACCUUCGUAUGGAACCAUCGACGGGAAAAUUCCGAUAUAAAUAAAGUCGAUUCCUAUACACCUAUAAUCAAACUAUACACUUGAAACCAUCUCAAAAUAAUCAAUACUCAUACUUAAACUCAUAUAUACCUAACUUAGGAUCAAUACAUAUACCCCAACACAUAUAACAAUGACUAAUGCACGUAAUUAAGUACGGGGUGUUACAUCCUUCCCCCCUUAAGGACAUUCGUCCUCGAAUGUGAAUGUAGUUAUUUAGCCGAAACAAGUUCAAGUCCACCAUUAACAUUCACAUCAUCACAUAAAUACUAUGCAUAUAUAAACAAAAACUUACUUGUUAAUGUUCUAACUCCGUUUCUUGAACUUCCUCUUCAUCUUUGAACAAAUGAGGGUACUUAGAUUUCAUUGCUUCCUCAGCUUCCCAUGUAAUCUCUUCCCUUUGUUGAUUUCUCCAAAGUACCUUUACUGAUGCCAUUUCUUUGUUCCUUAACUUUUUAACUUGGCGAUCUAGAAUAGCAACCGGUACCUCUUCAUAAGUAAGAUCCUCUGUGACCUGUACAUCUUCUAUAGGAGUGAUACGAGAGGGGUCACCUAUGCAUUUUCGAAGCAUUGACACAUGAAACACUGGAUGAACCAUUGAAAGUUCCUGGGGUAGCUCUAAUUCAUAUGCAACUUGUCCGACCCUCUUGGUAAUCUUAUAUGGCCCUAUGUAACGUGGGCUUAGUUUCCCUUUUUUACCAAAUCUCAUAACCCCUUUCAUUGGUGAUACCUUUAAAAAUACCCAAUCUCCAAUAGAGAAUUCCAGCCCUCUUCUCCGAAUAUCUGCAUAUGAUUUAUGACGACUUUGGGCUGUUUUUAGCCGUUGUUGUAUCACCUUGACUUUUUCUAUGGCUUGAUACACAAGAUCCGGUCCGAACAUAAGAGUUUCACCCGCUUCGAACCAUCCUAUUGGUGAUCUACACUUUCUCCCAUAUAAAGCUUCAUAUGGUGCCAUUUUGAUACUUGAAUGAUAGCUAUUAUUGUAGGCAAACUCAAUAAGAGGUAAAUGAUCAUCCCAGCUGCCUUUAAAAUCUAUAACACAUGCUCGUAGCAUAUCUUCAAGUGUUUGAAUGGUGCGCUCUGCUUGUCCAUCCGUCUGAGGGUGAAAAGCUGUACUCAGAUUCACUUGUGUUCCCAAACCCCGUUGGAAAGACUUCCAAAAGUUUGCAGUAAAUUGAGUUCCCCGAUCCGAUAUAAUAGAAGUUGGCACUCCAUGUAAUCGGACUAUUUCUUUAACAUACAGCUUCGAAUAUUCUUCAACUGUGUAAGUGGUCUUAACGGGUAAGAAAUGUGCGGAUUUAGUAAGCCUAUCCACAAUCACCCAUAUAGAAUCAAAUUUUCGAGCUGUACGAGGCAAACCUGUAACAAAAUCCAUGUUGAUCAUGUCCCACUUCCAAAUUGGAAGAUCUAUGCAUUGCAUAUAGCCUCCGGGUUUUUGGUGCUCAACUUUAACUCUUUGACAAUUUGGACAUUCAGCUACAAAUUCUGCAAUGCUCUUCUUCAUGUCAUUCCACCAAUACAUAUCUUUCAAAUCUUGAUACAUUUUGGUUGAUCCUGGAUGAAUGGAAUACCUUGAAAAAUGUGCCUCUGUCAUAAUCUUCUUUCUUAGCCCGUCUAUAUCCGGCACACACAAUCGGUUUUGGCACUGAAGUACUCCUUCUCGCGUAAGCUCAAAUGCCUUGGUCGCACCACUCUGAACGUUCUCCUUAAGAUGUAAUAAAAUAGGAUCUGCAUAUUGCUUCUCUUUCACUUCAGCUACUAAUGAAGAUUCCGCAGCAUUAUGUACGAUAAGCUCUUUAUUCGGAGUUUCAAGAAGGCGAACUCCCAAACUAGCUAACUGGUGAAGAUCUUUAACCAUCCCUUGCCUUUCUAUAGGCGCCAUCAUAGCCUUACGACUUAACGCAUCAGCUACCACAUUUGCUUUCCCUGGAUGGUACAAGAUAUCAACAUCAUAGUCCUUUAAUAGUUCAAGCCAUCUCCGCUGCCUUAAAUUUAGAUCCUUCUGAUUAAAAAUAUAUUGCAAGCUCUUAUGGUCAGUAUAUAUAUCAACGUGAACCCCAUAUAAGUAGUGGCGCCAUAUCUUUAAAGCAAAAAUAACCGCUGCCAGCUCAAGAUCGUGUGUAGGAUAAUUUUUCUCAUGUGGCCGUAAUUGUCUAGAAGCAUAUGCUAUUACCUUACCAUGCUGCAUCAAUACACAUCCUAAACCAAUUCUGGAAGCAUCACAAUACACUGUAUACCCUUCGGUGCCUUCUGGUAGUACCAACACGGGUGUAGAAAUCAACUUGUUCUUUAAAUCUUGAAAACUCUUCUCACAGGCAUCAUUCCAUUGGAAUUUGGAUGCUUUAUGGGUUAGCUUGGUUAAGGGUGCUGAAAUGGAAGAAAAGUCUUUGACAAACCUUCUAUAAUAACCGGCCAACCCAAGAAAACUACGAAUCUCCGUAGGCGUUGUGGGCCUUGGCCAGUUCUUCACAGCCUCUAUCUUUUGAGCAUCAACCUUUAUCCCUUCACUAGAUACAAUAUGACCCAAAAAUGCCACCGACUUUAACCAAAACUCACAUUUAGAGAACUUUGCAUAAAGCUUACAAUCACGAAGAGUCUGCAAUGCCUGUCGUAAGUGAUUGGCAUGGUCCUCUUCUGAUCUAGAAUAAACUAGAAUAUCAUCUAUAAAAACUAUCACAAAUACAUCCAGGAAUGGCUUAAAAACCCUAUUCAUCAAGUCCAUAAAAGCUGCGGGUGCAUUUGUUAGCCCAAAUGACAUAACUAGAAACUCAUAAUGACCAUACCUUGUUCGAAAAGCUGUUUUGGGUAUAUCUUUGGUAACGUAGAACAAUACAUGUUAAUGGACAAUCUCGGAAUCUUACUUGAUGGAACAUUGGGUGUUUUCAUGCCAAAGAACAUUGUUAGAGUAUGCUUUACAUACCUCGUUGUAGAUUCGGAUACCAAUUCAACACAACUUCCCGCCUUUACAAUUCACUUAUCUACAAUGAAAUGUUUGGCAUCUAGUAUUAGCAACCCAACACCACAAUUCUCUUCCAUAAUUCCAUACUACCAAUAUUUGCAAAACAUUCCAAAAACCAACUUGAACAAUAGGUUUAUGUGUGUAUAUAUAUAUAAUCAUCAUUUCAAUACCACAUCAUCAAUACCACAUCAUCACCCCAAAUUCCUUCACAAUUUAACAUAAUCCAACCAUGCACAAGAAUAAUCCAACAUCAUUUCCAAUCAUCUUUCAACAACAAUCAAAUAACAUACUUCUUAUGCUCACAUGCAUAUAUAUAUAUACAUAUCCAUAUAAAUAACACCAACAUAAUUUACAUCCUUACCAAAAAAAAUGGCCCUUUUGAUUUCGAAGUCCUGUUGGCACAAAUAAGGGGUGCUUCUCGAAGCCCUUGAGACGGUGAACACAACUACGGAAUCAAUUUGGAUUUUCUACGGUUGAAUCACAAGAUAAUUGGAGUUGAACUUAGGCUAGGGUUUCUUAUUCUUCAAUGAUUUGGAUGAUAAAUGGUGGAUAUAAGGCUAAGUAUAUGUAUAUAAUGACCAAUUUUCGUCCAUGAGGUGAUGGAAAAUGACCAUAUUGCCCUUAAAAAUUUAAGUAAAUCCGAAUCUGUCCAUGGUGGACUGUUUUGAUAGGCUAAAGUAAAUCGGCCAUAACUCUUUGCUCCGAUAUCGGAUUUGGGUGAAAUUGGUAUCGUUAGAAAGAUAAUUCAAAGGUAUUUCAUUUAAUAUAAAUUAAUCCACCCAGUUCGUCCUGUACAAGUAGUUAUGAUCGUUUGAAGUUGACCCUAAAAAUCUGUUUUGAGAGGCUGAAGUAAAACGAGUAUAACUCCUUACUCAGAUGUUGGAUUUGGAUGAAACCAAUUUCAUUGGAAAGAAGACUCAAAGAUCUUUCUUUUGAUAUAUGGUAGCUCAACCAGUUCAUUAUAUUGAGGGAGUUAUGAUCGUUCAAAGUUGACCCAAAAAACUGGCAGGCCUCAGUAGUUUCCUGCACAUUUUACUGUUCACAUCCCGGCCACCGUUUUAAAGUUUCGAACGAGCUCGCUUAUAUCGUGGACUGUUUUGACAAGCUAAAGUAGAUCGACCAUAACUCUUUGAUCCGAUAUUGGAUUUGGGUGAAAUUAGUAUCUUUGGAAAGAUAAUUCAAAGGGCUUUCAUUUCAUAUAAAGUAGACCACCCAGUUCGUCCUGUACAAGGAGUUAUGAUCAUUUGAAGUUGACCCUAAAAAUCUGUUUUGAGAGGCUGAAGUAAAACGAGUAUAACUCCUUAUUAAGAUGUUGGAUUUGGAUGAAACCAAUUGCAUUGGAAAGAAUACUCAAAGAUCUUUCUUUUUAUAGGUGGUAGCUCUCCCAGUUCAUUAUAUUGAGGGAUUUAUGAUCGUUCAAAGUUGACCCAAAAAACUGGCAGGCCUCAGUAGUUUGUGUGCAGGAAAUUUUCCUGCACAUUUACUGUUCACAACAUCCCGACCACCGUUUUUGGAAAUCUUUAUAUCGUUGGAAAGCUUAUUCAAUAACCUUCGUAUGGAACCAUCAACGGUCAAAUUCCGGAAUAAAUAAAAUAAAAAAUUAAUUCCAUAUAAAUAAGACCAAUACACGUACUUGAAUACGCCAAUACAUGUACUUGAAUACGGGGUGUUACAUAUGUAUAUCUUUAAAUAUUGUUAAAACAUUAAAAUUAUGACUGUGAGAGUUAGGAUAGUCCUACAUACCUUUUUGAUGAACAAAAUUUGAGAUAUCUUGAAUCCAAGCCUUAGAAGUAUGAGUCUUUUGAGGAAACCCUAAUUUUUUCUCUCUUGAGAGAGGAGAGGAGAAAAAGCGAUGAUAAACUGAUGUUCUAUUAGUAAAUAGGGUUUAAAUUGUGAUUUAAGUUGUAGGGGAGGAGUUUGUGGUAGGGAAAAGACCCAAAUACCCCCUUGAAAAUGUUAUAACAGUGCAAAACGGUCCCUACUGAUGGUUUGAGCGAUGGACCGUCGCUCUCGUGGCUGACCAUCACUCUAACCAUUUCAAAAUUACAAAUUUUUGGUCUUUAUACUAAUGGCAACAGUCUGGUGCGACGGGCUGUUACCCUGUCUGUCUCACCUUGGCAGACAGACAUCUUUUGGUAAAUUGCACAUAAUGUUUCACUCUUAAAUCGGAUUAAGGCAAAACUGGUGGCGUUGGAAAGAAGACUCGAUGAACUUUUAUUUGGUAUAUUGUAGGACAUCUAACACUUUAUAGUCUAGGAUUAAUAGUCAUUCAAAGUUGACUCAAGUUGGAAUGUUCACUAAAAUUCAAUCGUUAGAAAAGUUCUCAACUUAAUUUUGAGUUUGGAGAUUUUUAUGAUCUCAAUUAAUUUCCAAAGAUAACCUCACAUUGAAGAAUUGAUUAUCACACUUAUAUUGACACAAAAUCAUUAGGUUUGAGCUAUAUAUGCAGGAAAGACGGUUCAAAUUCUAGCUCGAAAAUGUGGGGUGUUACAACAUCUUCUCACAUACUAUACUAGCUUACAACUACUAGAGAAAAAAAGAUAAUGGGGGGGGGGGGGGGGAUCUUAAUCUUAUAAUAUAACCCACUAUGGUCUAUUAGCAUAUUUUACUUCCUCAUAUAAUAUCUACUUACCCAUGCAUACAUUUAAACUAAUUUCAAAAUUCUUUAAAUAUCACUAAGUCCCUCCUUCUAAGAUUUCCCCAAAUUGCAGUAAAUUCUUAAAUUAUUAGUCACUCUAUCCUUCUAUUCACAACCUAUAAUGAUUUUACAACCAUCAUAACUAUCCAUCCUGAGCUCCCUCCCUAUCUUAUAUAAAUUUAAAUCAUCAUAACUAAUCACUUUCUCUACUAACUAUCAUAAAAUCUAAAAAUCUUUCUAUGACUUUAUCCUUUCACUGUAAAAGGGCAUACGACCCGUCACUCAAAGAUUAUAAGACAACUACUACCCUUUUUACUCAAAAGAUACUUUCACUCUAACUUCCACGCUUAUGACUUAAUAACACUAACUUUGGGAUCAUCUUACUACUCAUAGUUUAUAAAACCUUAACUUAUACUACCUCUCCGGUAGAAAUACUAUAUCAACAUUCAGUUAUAUCUUUAACCUUAUGCGUGACAUCCACAACAAAGAUUUUGAAAGGGACGGAAUACACUUCUUGACUCUUGCUCAAAUGGACUCCUCUCAAGUUCUUAUUUUGUUUUAUGACUUUUUGAUGGCUCAAUCAGAAAAUGAAAGGACCAUCUCAUUAGGAAUCUAAGUUUUUGCACUUGUAUUUCCUCAAUAAUGAGACAUAGUGAAUAAAAUUAGAGCAAGGAAGGAAUUUGGAUAAUUUUUAUGUGGACAACACUAUUGGACGAUCUGGAUCAUGAAAAAAUGGGAAACAACUCCUAAAUGCCUGGUAGUCUUCUGAUUAUAAAUGUGGUGCACAACACACCCAUAAGAAUGAAUCUACUAGACACAACUUUGUACACAUUCUAGAACCCUAAACCUAGCCCUGAUACCAAGAUUGUCACCACCCGAGCUGAGGACUUAGCCAUUAUGGGUAUCCCAAACCAAAUAGGCCAGAGAGACCCCUUAACAUGCUAUCAUAAGCAUAAUUCAUACAAAAUAAGGAAGAUAUAAUAAAAUUUAAGAAAUAUUUUAAGCAAGGUCUGUCAAUAAAGUCAUAACAAAACAAUAACCAAAUCUAGUCUACGAAGCCUCUACUGAAGAAUAACUAUCUAGGCCGGAAAAAGGCACCCGACCGGAUCAUAAACUAAAAUAAAUGAACAUAUAAAUAAAAUGCCUUUUGAAAGAUGGAUGACCCACCAGCUCUGAUGUUUAUGAACAUUUUUCUAUUGUGACGGACCACAGGACUAAGCCUCAGACCCUACAUUAAGAGACAAUAUAGAUGUCCGAGGACGGUCGAUACUUGAAAUGUAUUAUAUGCAGAACAAUCCAAAAGAACAUAUAUUUCAUAUAAAAUAAUCAAGAACAUUGUGAAAAUAAUUUAACAUAAUAGAUAUCAAAGAAUAAUAAAAAAAAUUCAAUCAAUCUCGUAAAAUAAUGACUCAGUCUUUUCUUUAGUUCUGAGCUAGAUGGCAUACCCAACAUGGUUUGAAAAAUCCUAUUGUCUAUAUUGGGUCUGACAUUGAUCCGGUGGUCAAGUCCCCAAUUCGAGUUUGCUGCAAGGAUUAGAGCAUAUGACCCGGUAUACCAAAGCAUAAAGCAAGUAUACAAUGUUCAUCCAUAUUUUAGGACAGGAUUAAUCCUGUAUCAUAAAAUACAGUUUUGGGAUGUGAGUUAUGUGAGCUCGUUCCUUCUUGGUUAACCACUUAACUCUCUUUAAGCCCAUAUUUUAGCACUUAAAACGUGGUCUGUAGUCUAAAAUGUCAUUCAUCUGAUUUGGUUUCGUCAUACCAAGACUUGAAAGUCCUAUAAUCCAUAUCAUAUCAUGUCCAUAGUCCUUUUAAAAAGCAUGUUAUUUGACCACCAAAAUGAUUCAAAUAUCACAUGAGAGUUCUCUUUCAAAACUGUUAUGAAAGCUUAAGUAAAACAUCUUUCUUUCAAAACUUAACUCUUAAGGUGGUCAUCUCUUUCAUAAUCACAUAUAAUCUCCAUGAGAAACAAGAGAAUUUAGAAAUAAGAAACACCCCUUUGAAAACAUGUAAAAUGGCAAUGCAUAAUUGAUAAAGAUGCAUGUAAAAUUUAAGCUUAUCAUCAUUCAUUAACCAACCCCCAAAUACAUAAAUUUCAUGCUCGAAAAAGGGAAUUUAUAGUUCAUGCUCUCAAAUCCACUUCAAAAUUCAUACAUGCAUAUAAAUACAAUUUAAAGUUUAUGGAAAACCCCAUAGUUAAUACAUAAUUUCAUCAUAAAAAGGGAUCUCGUAAUUCAUGCUUUUCAAUCAAUUUAAAAAUCUUAGCUUAUAAAUAUACAAUAUAGGAUUUAUUCAAAACAUCAUACUUACACCCAUGAGUGUUAGGAUAGUUCUACAUACCUUUUGAUGGAGGAAAAUUGAAUAAGAAUCUUGAGUUUGGAAACCUACGAGCUUUGAAAUUAAGAAAUCCUUAUUGAUAUCCUUGGGAGGGAGAUUAAGGAAUUUAGGAGAUUUCUACUAGCUUAGGACGACUAUAGGAUUAUAAAAUGAAUUGGGGGAGUUAUGGGGGUGAAAGGAUCAUUUUCCCUAGAUUUAAUGAGGGGAAAAUGUAUUUUUAUGUCCGGGAAGGGGGGUUGCAUCGCGGGCCAAACUGCACGGCUCCAGCCGUGCCCCUCGCCUAAUCACGUGGCAUAAACAUUGCCUCGUGCAACCAUCGCGCACCCUGGAUAGUAUCUCAUCAAACUGCCUAUAACUUCUUAAUCUGAAGUCGGAUUGACGACGGUCAGUUGUGUUAGAAAGAAGACCCGAAGAAUUUAAUUUGAUAUAUAGUAGGCCACAUAACUUGAUAUAUAGGAGUAAUGGUCUUUAGAAGUUUUCCCAAGUUAGAAAGUCUACUAAACACAAUCGGUAGAAAAGUUCUUAACUCAACUUUGAGUUAGGAGAUUUUUAUGACUUAUAUUCAUCUCUAAAGAUGUUCCCAUACUAAAAAAUUGAUAAAGAAUUAUUCACACUUUU